UCCAACCGUUGAGCCAGGUUCCAGCACAACCAUUUUUAUAAAUUGAGUUGCCUGGGUAUCAGUACUGGGCUCCAGUAGAAGUGGAAGUUGAGACUAGAACAUCUAUUUGUACUAUGUAAACAUUACUUUUCUGAUCAUUUAUAUACUUCGGCUACUUGACAAUUGUUAUUGUUUUACACAAACUAUUCAUAAAGAAUCUAAUAUGAGGUGGAGCCAAGUAAACCUUUCUCUGAAAAGACUGUUAGGAUAUCAGGUGAUUUGGAAUUUAAGUUCAGGCUACACACUAAAAAAUUUAAAUUAAAAUAAAAAUACUUAAAAUGCAACAUGCAUGGCAAUUUCUGAUUUUUUUUUUUUUGGAAUUUGAAGUUAAAAUAAAAAUAC